CAACCAUCAAGCCCCAGGCUUGUGUUGGGGCCCUGCGGCUGCCGCAGGCCCUGAAAAACAGUGGCGGGCUCGCUGUCACACCGAGCGUAGUAAUACAUCUCGCUUUGGACGUGCAGCGGGUUCUUGCCGUUAAACACCCCCCUUCUCAA
rnacentral:misc_RNA from 1 species